AUUGAACGCUGGCGGCGUGCUUAACACAUGCAAGUCGAUCGGUAACGCGGGGGCAACCCUGGCGACGAGAGGCGGACGGGUGAGGAACGCUUGGGAAUCUGCCUAUCAGCGGGGGACAACCCGGGGAAACUCGGGCUAAUACCGCAUACGCUCUACGGAGGAAAGCCGGGGACCGCAAGGCCUGGCACUGAUAGAUGAGCCCAAGUCGGAUUAGCUAGUUGGCGGGGUAACGGCCCACCAAGGCGACGAUCCGUAGCUGGUCUGAGAGGACGAUCAGCCACACCGGAACUGAGACACGGUCCGGACCCCUACGGGAGGCAGCAGUGGGGAAGAUUGGACAAUGGGCGAAAGCCUGAUCCAGCGACGCCGCGUGGGUGAAGAAGGCCUGCGGGUUGUAAAGCCCUUUCGGUAGGGACGAAAACUCUCGACUUAAUACGUCGAGGGAUUGACUUAACCUACAGAAGAAGCACCGGCUAACUCUGUGCCAGCAGCCGCCGUAAAAC
rnacentral:rRNA from 1 species